rnacentral:rRNA from 1 species
GAUGAACGCUGGCGGCGUGCUUAACACAUGCAAGUCGAGCGAGAAAAGUUCUUCGGAGCUUUUCUAGCGGCGGACGGGUGAGUAACACGUGGGCAACCUGCCUCAUAGAGGGGAAUAGCCUUCCGAAAGGAAGAUUAAUACCGCAUAACAUUGUUGAAAGGCAUCUUUUAACAAUCAAAGGAGCAAUCCGCUAUGAGAUGGGCCCGCGGGGCAUUAGCUAGUUGGUGAGGUAACGGCUCACCAAGGCGACGAUGCGUAGCCGACCUGAGAGGGUGAUCGGCCACAUUGGAACUGAGACACGGUCCAGACUCCUACGGGAGGCAGCAGUGGGGAAUAUUGCACAAUGGGGGAAACCCUGAUGCAGCAACGCCGCGUGAGUGAUGAAGGUCUUCGGAUUGUAAAGCUCUGUCUUUAGGGACGAUAAUGACGGUACCUAAGGAGGAAGCCACGGCUAACUCCGUGCCAGCCGCCGCAGUAACAC